CUCAGCAGUGGCAGACGACAGAGCCCCGCCCCAGGGGCGGUGGGCAGGGCUGGUGGGGCAAAGCUGGUGUGAGCCAGGAGCAGGUGACCUCCAGCCUCAACACCGCUUCCGAUGAAGGGCUCGGCCCCCAGGGCCGGAUGUGAUGACACCUGAGACCAGACGGAUGCCUCCUGGCCCCUAGGAGGCCCCAGGUGGGGUCGAGCAGCUGAUGAGAGAGGAAGGGAAGCAGCACGAGGCUAAUUCGCGCAUCGCCUUUGCCUCUAAUGCGGCUCAGCCGCAAGGGCUCAGGGGGCGGCGCCUCCCCCGUCAUUUCCGUCUUGAGAAACAGGGGCCUCCCGGGCCUUGACCUCGGCCGUGGGAGCAUUACCAGGCAUUUCUCCAGCCACCCCAGGCCUGCGGGAGGCUCCGACGCAGGCUCAGGCUGUGUGGGGGUCACGGCGGGCAGCCAGGGGAGGAGCGCGCUAUGUGGGCUCCCACCAAGCCGUCCUCUCAGCGGUGCAGCCCUCAAGGCUCCAGGUGCAUCAGAGCAUCACCCCUCGGAGGCUGCCAGUCUCAGGGGAGGCUUCAAAGACGCCAGUGCUGCCUGGGAUGUGCUGCUUGGAAAAUGCUCUUAGUCUCCAGAGAGAGAACAGGUAAGCCUUGGUGUCUUUAAGCCUCAGAGGGAGGCCCUUUUGCUAAGUUGGAGUGGAUUCUGAAUGAAUUCCUCUUAUCCCAUUUCCAAACCUUCACCACACUCAAGUUCUCUCCACCUGCUCUUCUCAGAUAAGGCCCCAGCACAUCCUUCUGGGGCAAUGGCAGGUGAGUCCCUGGCUUGCUGUCUCUAUCCCAACCCCUUUAUGAACUUGCUCCUAUUCCCUCCCUGCUAAGCUGCUCCUACUGCUGGGUGCUUGCUGUUUGUCCUUCACGUCAGCUCCAGAAUCUGGGCUUUGCUCCAGCCCUGGACCCCUUUGCUCCUGUAUUUUCCAGUCCUUCCUUUCUAAUGUUUUCCUCCUAAAUGCAUAAACAUGCUCAAGCCUCGUCUUUGUUUAGCAAAGAACAAGCCUCAGCCAGCCUCCAGAUAGCCUGUGCUUUCACGCUCCUCCCCAUGCCAGGUCCCCACGGAGCAGGCUGGACCUGCCAUCUCUUCUCCCUUGUCAUUCACGCCUUCCUUCCUCAUGGCCAUCAGACUUCCGAUCCCAGGUCUCCCCAGAUACUUUGGAAAAAUGGAGCACUUACUUCAGUUUUUCAAGAGGUCUUGAUUCAUAAUAUACUUCUGCUCCACAAUACCACCAGUCACCAGAAAGCAGCUGCCCCAGGCCCCACCCUAAGCUUCCCCAUCUCCAUGAGCUGCUGAAUAGUGUCCCCCAGAGGGAGGCCUGGCUGCCACAAUGAAUAUGGCCCUAGCUAAAUACUCUGGACUGUAGCUUUUUUUUUUUUUUUUUUUUUUUUUGCCAUUUCUGGGGCUCUCCCACGGCAUAUGGAGGUUCCCAGGCUAGGGGUUGAGUUGGAGCUCUAGCCGCCGGCCUACACCACAGCCAUAGCAACGCAGGAUCCGAGCCACAUCUGCAACCUACACCACAGUUCACGGCAACGCUGGAUCCUUAACCCACUAAGCGAGGCCAGGGAUUGAACCCGCAACCUCAUGGUUCCUAGUCGGAUUCGUUAACUACUGCGCACGACGGGAACUCCCGGACCGUACCUUUGUGUUGCCACCUUGCUCUAGGCCAUUCCCAGGACUAUGUGGUCAUGGCCACCGCUGCCCCUUCACUCUGGCCCCCUCCUGGGUCCAAGCCUCUCAGGUCAUCCGUCUUCACGUGGCCCCUCAUCUCCGGACUCUCAGUACACACUUUACUCUGACUCCAUCCCCUACCUUCGAUUUCCCAAACCUCCGCUUACUGUGCUUUCUGGAUUCCACAUCUUUCGGCUGAAAAAAAAAUCGAGUUUGAAAACCACUAGUAUAAGUCACAGAAGCAAGUCAACAGCCUAGCUGGACAGCGGGCCAAAGGUCAGGCUACGAUGACUGACCAUGAAAAGGGCCGCUUUCCACUGAGGGACUUGUCGAUACCUCUCAGGGAGGAACAGUGCCGGGCUCCCCGUCAGGCCCAGCCGGAAGCGGCUCCAGCUGCAGGGCCUCAGUGACGUCCUACCAGGGGCGUCACGGGGCAUCACAGUGCAGAACGGAAGUAGAAUGCAAGAAGCAGGUGGCCGACAGAGGUCUUCCCCUCUUUGGGCCUAAGGCGGAGGCAGCCC
ensembl:lncRNA